UACGUAGGGUGCGAGCGUUGUCCGGAAUUAUUGGGCGUAAAGAGCUCGUAGGCGGUCUGUCGCGUCUGCUGUGAAAACCCGAGGCUCAACCUCGGGCCUGCAGUGGGUACGGGCAGACUAGAGUGCGGUAGGGGGAGAAUGGAACUCCUGGGUGUAGCGGUGGAAUGCGCAGAUAUCAGGAAGAACACCGAUGGCGAAGGCAGUUCUCUGGGCCGUGA
rnacentral:rRNA from 1 species